UACGUAGGGUGCGAGCGUUAAUCGGAAUUACUGGGCGUAAAGCGUGCGCAGGCGGUUUUGUAAGCCAGAUGUGAAAUCCCCGGGCUUAACCUGGGAAUGGCAUUUGGGACUGCAAUGCUGGAGUGCGGCAGAGGAGACUGGAAUUCCUGGUGUAGCAGUGAAAUGCGUAGAUAUCAGGAGGAACACCGAUGGCGAAGGCAGGUCUCUGGGCUGACACUGACGCUGAUGCACGAAAGCGUGGGGAGCAAACAGG
rnacentral:rRNA from 1 species